rnacentral:rRNA from 1 species
AUUGAACGCUGGCGGCAUGCCUAACACAUGCAAGUCGAACGAGUGGCGGACGGGUGAGUAAUGUCUGGGAAACUGCCUGAUGGCGGGGGAUAACUACUGGAAACGGUAGCUAAUACCGCAUACCAUCGGAUGUGCCCAGAUGGGAUUAGCUAGUAGGUGGGGUAAAGGCUCACCUAGGCGACGAUCCCUAGCUGGUCUGAGAGGAUGACCAGCCACACUGGAACUGAGACACGGCCCAGACUCCUACGGGAGGCAGCAGUGGGGAAUAUUGCACAAUGGGCGCAAGCCUGAUGCAGCCAUGCCGCGUGUAUGAAGAAGGCCUUCGGGUUGUAAAGUACUUUCAGCGGGGAGGCGUUACCCGCAGAAGAAGCACCGGCUAACUCCGUGCCAGCAGCCGCGGUAAUUC